rnacentral:rRNA from 1 species
AGGACGAACGCUGGCGGCGUGCCUAAUACAUGCAAGUCGAACGGUCUUUCUAUGGAAGCUUGCUUCCACUGAGAAGAUAGUGGCGAACGGGUGAGUAACACGUGGGUAACCUGCCCAUAAGAGGGGGAUAACAUCCGGAAACGGGUGCUAAUACCGCAUAGUUUUCUUGAUCGCAUGAUCGGGAAAGGAAAGACGGCCUUUGUGCUGUCGCUUAUGGAUGGACCCGCGGCGUAUUAGUUAGUUGGUGAGGUAACGGCUCACCAAGACGAUGAUACGUAGCCGACCUGAGAGGGUGAUCGGCCACAUUGGGACUGAGACACGGCCCAAACUCCUACGGGAGGCAGCAGUAGGGAAUCUUCCGCAAUGGACGAAAGUCUGACGGAGCAACGCCGCGUGAGUGAAGAAAGGUUUUCGGAUCGUAAAACUCUGUUGUCAGAGAAGAACAAGUUGGAGAGUAACUGCUCCAGCCUUGACGGUAUCUGACCAGAAAGCCACGGCUAACCACGUGCCAGCCGCAGC